ACUUAAAGCAACGACGGUUGAAGGGACGGCUACGGCGUUCGAGUGACACUUUGCCCACACUUUGCGCAUGUUUACAUUUCCUGCCGUUGUAGCCCAACUGUCUACUACGGGAGAGCGACUGGUUUGCCGUAUUCAAUACUACGUUACAUUUCAAGCAGAUAUGUCCUCCGUUGCCCAAGAAGAUGCUAGAACACAUGAACCUGGACUGGAGCAUACUCACCAAAUAAAAAAUUACAUUAAUUAAAUAAUAACGUAAGCAAAUCAUUUUUAGAUGACUGGUGAAUAAAUAAAACAGAAUAUAAUGCACUGUACACACAUGUCUGGACAUUGCUCUUUUUUUUAUUAAGGUGAGAUAAGGUAACAUAUACCUUAUCAUUACAUACUAUAUACAUUAUAU